UUUGCAUUUAGGAUGCAUGAUCAAGUGCAUUAGCUCUUCUUGCAAUUUGGUCACCAAUGAAAAGAAAUUUGGGGAAUUUUGACACUGGGAUGUAA
rnacentral:snoRNA from 10 species